rnacentral:rRNA from 1 species
UGGGGGAUAUUGCACAAUGGGCGAAAGCCUGAUGCAGCGACGCCGCGUGGGGGAUGAAGGCCUUCGGGUUGUAAACUUCUUUUGCUCUGAACAAGGCGCACCAUGGGGUGUGUUGAGUGUAGGGGUUGAUUAGCGCCGGCUAACUACGUGCCAGCAGCCGCGGUAAUACGUAGGGCGCGAGCGUUGUCCGGAAUUAUUGGGCGUAACGGGCUGGUAGGUGGCUGGGUGCGUCUGUCGUGAAAGCUCAUGGCUUAACUGUGGGUUUGCGGUGGGUACGGGCUGGCUUGAGUGCAGUAGGGGAGGGUGGAAUGCCUGGUGUAGCGGUGGAAUGCGCAGAUAUCAGGAGGAGUACCGGUGGCGAGGGCGGGUCUCUGGGCUGUUACUGACACUGAGGAGCGAAAGCAUAGGGAGCGAACAGG